rnacentral:rRNA from 1 species
GACGAACGCUGGCGGCGUGCUUAACACAUGCAAGUCGAACGGAAAGGCCCUGCUUUUGUGGGGUGCUCGAGUGGCGAACGGGUGAGUAACACGUGAGUAACCUGCCCUUGACUUUGGGAUAACUUCAGGAAACUGGGGCUAAUACCGGAUAGGAGCUCCUGCUGCAUGGUGGGGGUUGGAAAGUUUCGGCGGUUGGGGAUGGACUCGCGGCUUAUCAGCUUGUUGGUGGGGUAGUGGCUUACCAAGGCUUUGACGGGUAGCCGGCCUGAGAGGGUGACCGGCCACAUUGGGACUGAGAUACGGCCCAGACUCCUACGGGAGGCAGCAGUGGAGAAUAGUGCACAAUGGGCGGAAGCCUGAUGCAGCAACGCCGCGUGCGGGAUGACGGCCUUCGGGUUGUGAACCGCUUUCGCCUGUGACGAAGCGUGAGUGACGGUAAUGGGUAAAGAAGCACCGGCUAACUACGUG